AGCAUACCCCUGGUUCUUGGGUAUUUAAGCCCCGGUUGGGAGUAAAUUCGGCCAUUUUGCUUGGCCGCUGCUGGCUCUUCAGUUGUCUGGGGUUUAAAGCUCCUGAUUGCUUGCUAGGCAUGGGUCUUACCAGUCGUAUGCAUCUGCAGCCUCUUCACAUGAUGGGGAUUUGUGGCUCCACAAAUGGGUCUGACCAUUCCUGUGUGCCUGGCAGCUCAAUCCUCUGCCCAGCUUGAGGACUGCUGUGUGAUUGGUCAGUGUAGGCUGCAAGGUUACCCCCAUCCCUGGAUGGAAUCCAACCUCAUACAGGUGAACUCCUCCUGGGAUGAAUACCUGUCUCAGGUGAGAUGCCUUGAUGUGAGAAGGGUUCCUGGAGUAAGUCUUGGCCAACUCCAAUCCAGCUGCCCAGGUAAGGGUGCACACAGAUCAUGAGCUGAUAAUAGAUGGGGCUCAGUCCUAGCUGCCUGUUCCCACUGACAUGAUGAACUCGCUUUGGAUUCUCGUUCGGCUGAACAUUGCUGUUGAGACUCUGACUCUGAGGCUUGGUGAUGAACAGGCUGCAGGCUUUGCCUUCUCAGGGAGCUUAGUCUGGGGAUGCAAGUUUAGAAUUCAGGGCCUCAAGGAUUCAGGUCAAAUAACCUUUCUUCUCUUAGGUUAAAGAUGCUGGUGUGGAUGGCUGCACUGUACUGAGUCGUGGCAGGUAGCCAGAGGCCUGGGUUCUGAAGUGCCUGGAAUGGAGUCUUGGCAUUCCUGCCAGGGAAUGGGCAGUCAGUCAUUUGAGCUGCAGGGCUGCCUGGAAGGAUGGCUCAUCCGAGCACAGCAAGUUGGAGCAUUUGGCCAGAUGCAGCUGUGCCAUCACACCUGCUUCCAGGAAGAGCUCUUCCUGCUCAGCUGUGACAAACCCAGCAGCAGCUUAGUGUUGAUGGGGGCAGCCAGCUCCUUAAGUGUGUGGUUCUUUGUGUAUUGACUGUUUAAAUAAAACAUCUCUGCACAGAA